rnacentral:rRNA from 1 species
GAUGAACGCUAGCGACAGGCUUAACACAUGCAAGUCGAGGGGCAGCACAGGGUAGCAAUACUUGGGUGGCGACCGGCGCACGGGUGAGUAACGCGUAUGCAACUUACCUAUCAGAGGGGGAUAGCCCGGCGAAAGUCGGAUUAAUACCCCAUGAAACAGGGGUCCCGCAUGGGAAUAUUUGUUAAAGAUUCAUCGCUGAUAGAUAGGCAUGCGUUCCAUUAGGCAGUUGGCGGGGUAACGGCCCACCAAACCGACGAUGGAUAGGGGUUCUGAGAGGAAGGUCCCCCACAUUGGAACUGAGACACGGUCCAAACUCCUACGGGAGGCAGCAGUGAGGAAUAUUGGUCAAUGGACGAGAGUCUGAACCAGCCAAGUAGCGUGAAGGAUGAAGGUCCUACGGAUUGUAAACUUCUUUAUAAGGGAAUAAACCCUCCCACGUGUGGGAGCUUGUAUGUACCUUAUGAAUAAGCAUCGGCUAACUCCGUG